rnacentral:lncRNA from 1 species
GGAAAAUCUGAAAUAUGUUUUAAUGUGCUUAUAGUUAAUGUACUGUGUUGUUUAGAUUUAUUAAUCAUACGAAAAUAAUUUACAUUUAAAAUUACUAGGUAUACUACAUUUAUAUUUACGUGUACUACCCGUGCACUACAUCCGACAGUUUGAUUUCCGAAACAAGUGUACGGUGGCCGAGAGUCGCGUCAGACCUGCAUUAGCGCUUUUACAGUGGAAGUAGGCCAGUGGACUUCUGCUGCUGCUAAGCAACCGCUCUUUACACAAGCAAAGGCACACGCUUGUUAACGCUUGUGAGGAUGAACUGUUGUAACAAAUGAGGGACUUUGAGGCCAGUGUGGAUGGAGCUCACUGUUUCAGGGUGCUGUGUUCGCACCCAUGCUGCUGGGACACCGAGCGCCGCUGCACCAGAGGAAUCAAACGCCACAAUCCAGCACGCGUGAGGAAACACUCUCUCAAAAAUGGAGCAGAGGACUUUCCAUCUCUGAGUAUAGUUAAUGUCUCUGAAUGGGCUGGACGGGGGAGACCGAUUAAAGAAAGGCCACUGUACGGUGCUGACACAGAGGCAUCUUUGAAUGAUGCCUCUUGUGUUUCUCUCAGCAAACAGACACAAGACACUCAGAAGAUUAAGAGGGCAAAUCUUUCCUUCCCAGACAUCAUGUUGCCCAGCGAUAAACCAAACAAUAUGCUCAAGUUAAAUACAGUUGAGAUCAGUCCUUUGAUGGGCCGCUCUGAGUUGCCACAGUGUCCACUGGUUAUGUGGAUUCCCAACCCGCACCACGAGCCUCAGUGGCUCCGCCAAAACAAGUCUAAAUCUCCAAACAUCACUAUAAAAGAGUUAGUCUGCCUUCCAUCCAAGCCGUCCAUCGAGGCCAACCAGCGGAAGAAGUGUAACGGUCAUAAAAGUAGAGGUAAGAGAGGAAUUAAUGCUACACAAGAGGGCGCUGGCAGCCCACGGUGGGUGGGCAUUGGCUUUAAUCCCAUUCCCAAAACCACCCCACAUCACCUCUCCCACAGCCUAGCAUUCAAAGAUAGUGGGUGGGGAUCAUUGGAUCAAAAACUGCCAAGCCUAACCACACCACACCCAAACCCAAAGAGCAGUAGUGUCAGUCCAGCCUUGAGCCUGAGUUUAGAAUCAGUAAAGUGCUGGAGAGGCCACUGAAACAGACUUAAACAGAUCUCAUACUUAUGCCACAUUAAGAAGACAAAGGUGUUUAACUGUAAAUGAAAAGUCUGUUCCAUAAGUAGUUAGUCGUGUCCAAUGAUUGUCUUGAAAGUCAAUUCCUAUUUUAAACAUAGACUAGUUUCAACAAAUAAUUAAAAUGUAGCCUACAUGGUUUGUUUUUCACAGCCUGAACAGUUAAUUUAUUCACGAAUGUGCAUUAUGAUGAUAAACAGCAGGUGGCAGAGCAGAUCAGAGUGAUUCAAAUCCUAACUGAACUGAACUCGGAAAGUGACUCCAUCAAAUAUAGUGUGUGUUCGGCUGAUAUAUGCUAUAUGAAUAGAACUGCAGUUGACAAUUAUCAACAAACAUGCA